UAAACCGAGCCCGUCAGGAGGCGCCGCGUUGCUUGCGCUUCGCGGUGGAAGGGCGACGCGAAGGAGCGCGCCCAAAGCCCAGUCCAGCAAAGACGGCUGAACCUUAAAAGUCCACAGAAGGAACAAGUUAUUCAGUACCUGCUCUGAAAAACGUGUCUUGAAGGAAAGCUGAAUGGCAACGUGAAAGUCAGCACCUCGCUUCCUCGGCAGGUGAACUCUGUGACUACAGCAGCGUUUCCCUCCCUCCCUGCCUCCCCCGGGCUGCGCGUUGGGAAGUUCCAGUGAAAUAUAGCUGCUGUGGAAAGUCCUGCUCACGGCAAGGAGACGUGACCUCUCAGCGAGUCAGAUCCAAUUUUACAGGCGGCUCUGAGUCAGGGUGGAGCCCGUGAACUGAACUUUGUAUGUAAGAAGGAAGUGAUGUUGGUGGCAGCUUGUGUUGCUAAGCAGAUGAGUUGCUGUAUUUUUAUGUCAGCUGAUAGUUUCGUCGGGUGUGUGACUUCAUUCUUAGAUAUGAUGCCUUCCAUUUAUUAAGGACAAAGGUCAGAAAUUGUCAGCGCUCUGUGAUAGCUGUGUCUCUCCAUAUAAGAAGAGGCAUGUUCUACUGAGCCGUCAAAGAUGGAAAUGGGAGUCCUUAAUGCUGCUUCUGCGUGCUGAAAACAAAACCGACCGUGAAACUGUCAGUUCAUGUCAUGGUCCAAGAGCGAACGUCCUCACGAGCAGGGAUGUCGUGGAGUAGCUCAGUUCCUUGGUGUCGCUCCAUUUUUAUGAGAACUCACUACUGUUCCCGAUUAAAGAGGUGGCCUGUCUAACCACGUGUCUGGUCUCCAGUAGUAAUGGGAACUGGGGGGCUGAGGUGAGCAGUCGGGCACUGGCCUGUUAAAUCAGAAUUUAGAUGGAAAGCUAAGCGAUCCCGCCUCUUACUUCCGUAAACUAAGUGGUGAGUCUACUUGGGAAGGAGAGCGAGUUGUUUAUCACCUCUGUGCCGCUGGCACUCCAGCGGGUGCUGCCUUCCGGCUGUCCAGAUCACGGGUAAGUGGCAGUACCCGGGCAGGGUUUCGGAGAGGCUUGAGGGGGAGAGUGCAGGCAGGCUCGGGGCAGCUGCCCGCAGCUGUGUGUGUACCCACGCACCCCACAGUGACGAGUCACGGUGUGCUGUCUCAGGUGGCAUUUCCACCUAUUCCCCCCUUAAGGUCUUUGGCUGCAUCCCUGAGUUAGCCGUGGGAGAGCUAUAUGUUGUUAUCCUCGUUCUGAGAGCUAUUUAUGUAUCAGAAAACUUCCACAGAGAAGAAUGGAUUUUGGGAGUAGCAGUAAUUCUUGUUGUUGUUGGAUGCCGGAGGGUGAGGCAGCGGGGAACGCUGACGUCCCUCAGAGAGCUUUGCCCCUAUAAGGCCUGGCAGGUGAGUGGCAUGUGGACACGAGCUGCUGGAGCUUGCUGCCCCUCUGCUUUUCUGGUUCAGUUCCUCAGUUAAGGAGUUCCCGGCCACAGAAGUAGCUGUUUGGGCCAGUUCCAGAUUUUGUCACUCUGGCUGGCUUGAGUUUCCAAAAAAAAAAAAACAAACAA